ensembl:lncRNA
CUCCCUUUAAACAUAGUUAUCUCCUAGAAUCCUAGAGCUAGAAGCAAGCUUUGGCCUAGCUCCUUGCCCCUAGGAAGGCGAAGUCUACAACUAAUUUGACUCACCUUUGGCAGUCUUUUGCUUUCUGAGAAUCUUUCCUUCUCUCUAACACGCAUCAUUCCUGUCACUCAAGCCCUUCUUCGCCUGUAAUUAAAGUCCACCUGGGGUAAGUGGGGAAGAGACAGGAUGCACAGACUAGCUAUUCUGGUUUAGUUUCUGAAAGCAGAAGUUAAGAGCCUCACCUGGAGAGAUUAAGAGCCUGGGUUUUAGAAUUAGGUCUGUUUCAAGCCCCGCCUCCACUGGCUUCAAGAAUUUCUCCUUGCAUGGUUAGAGUAAGGAGUAGAAGUGAGGUAUUUAAAGUACCUGGCACACAAGGAGGGAAUCAAGAAGUGUGACUUUAAGAAGAUCACACGGUUUAGUGAAACCAGGACUGCUGGUUGAGGCUCAGAGCCUCUCUACUCCAGGUUGUCAGGUUUUUGCCUGGGGUUAGGAUGCAGACCUUGGGGAACCUUCCUCUCAAUCUUGAGAUUCACUGUCAACCUCUGUCCUGCAAGGUCAGCAGUCUUCUCUUACCCUGCAUUCAAGACUGCUCUGGGAGGAGGCAUCUUACAAGCCAGUGUGGCCCCUAGGCCAGCAACAGUAGUAUCACCUGGGAACCUGUUGGGAAUGUACCUUCUCAGCCACCCUCUCCCCUUAUCUGUCUCCCAGAUGGCAUGAGCACUGAAGGUCACAAUCCCUGCUGACCUCCUCAUCCACCCAAGCCAGGGGGCAGUUGGAGGGUGGCUCCCACGGCUUGUCUAAACUCACCCAGCUGAAAGACAGAGAUGGCUUUGCUUUACUUUUUUGUGUUGGGGAUAAAAAUCUGCUUUAAGCUCCAGGCUGUCCCAGGACCAAACAUCAUACUGCUAAUCAUACUUCUAUAGCCUUUUACAGGUGCCUUGCUACCUAACACUAUUCUCAAGAGUCAUUCAUUCCUUCUGGCAAAGCUUCUUACCUUUGGCCUUCUCUAUAAAAAAAAAAAAAGUGUGUGUGUGUGUGUGUGUGUGUAAACUUAUCCUUCUUGUGAAUUAGUUUAUCACAUUUUUCUCUUUACAUGAGGUUCCAGGACUGCUGGAUGAUUGAGAUCUGCGUCUGCUUCUGACUCUAGCCUGGCAGUCGGCAUCUGAGCCAAGGCGAGUAGGGCUGAGCUACAGUUCCUUGGAAGGGGCUUGAGGAGGAGCGAGCUGCAGAG